rnacentral:rRNA from 1 species
GACGAACGCUGGCGGCGUGCCUAAUACAUGCAAGUCGAGCGAAUCAAUAGGAGCUUGCUCCUGUUGGUUAGCGGCGGACGGGUGAGUAACACGUGGGCAACCUGCCUGUAAGACUGGGAUAACACCGGGAAACCGGUGCUAAUACCGGAUAAUCCUUUUCCUCUCAUGAGGAAAAGCUGAAAGUCGGUUUCGGCUGACACUUACAGAUGGGCCCGCGGCGCAUUAGCGAGUUGGUGAGGUAAUGGCUCACCAAGGCGACGAUGCGUAGCCGACCUGAGAGGGUGAUCGGCCACACGGGGACUGAGACACGGCCCAGACUCCUACGGGAGGCAGCAGUAGGGAAUCUUCCACAAUGGACGAAAGUCUGAUGGAGCAACGCCGCGUGAGCGAUGAAGGCCUUCGGGUCGUAAAGCUCUGUUGUUAGGGAAGAACAAGUACCGGAGUAACUGCCGGUACCUUGACGGUACCUAACCAGAAAGCCACGGCUAACUACGUGCCAGCCGCCGCGGUAA